ensembl:lncRNA
GUCCGGGGCAGAUCGCCAAGCAAGCCCCUCCCCAGCGCUCGCGGGUUCCUGCCCGCGCGUCCCUUCCAGAGCCCGCUUGGCUCCAGUGCCCAGUUCCCCUCGGUUCCCAGUCGCGCCCGGCUUCCACCCUGCCCCCUCCCGCGGCCCCCAAUCUCCCCUCUCCUGCGCCCUGUUUGCCUCCGGCGUUUGCUUUCCGCUGCGCCCCGGCUCUACCCGCCGCCACCCAUCCCAUCUACCUCCAGUGCCCAGGUUUCCUGCAGAGCAGAGCUCACGCGCCCUUUAGCAGGAAGGGGACUUCGGUGUUCUCGAAACACCGGAGCGCCUUGGACGGUCUGUUCGCUGGGGGUGGAGGAGUCUGGCUGCAAGACUGUUUCUUGUAUUGGGCAGCCUAGGAGGGUGUGUGUAAAGCCCUUCCUCUGUCAAGAGGAGUCCCAGCCAGCUCGCGUCCUGCCAGCUCGGGGAUCGGAUCGGAGGCGGGUGUGAGCGGUUAGAAGAAACUUUCCAGCGAGCGCCUUGCUAAAGCAGAGCGCGCAUCUGUCAGGAACGCUCCCCGGGAGCUAUUCUUGCAAGAAGCUUCUGUCGUUCCAGGGCAGCAGAUGCAGAAAGCAAAGGAAGGUUUGUGCAGCUGACAGCUAAUGCUGAGGACCAGUUGGAAAAAUACACACUCCCAGGUCCCAGCUGAUGGAUGUGUGAGUAUGGUGCAACGGUGUGUGCCGGUAAUGUAAAGAGAGAGAGAGGCUUAAGGACAGGCAUGUUAGAGUAAAUGACACCGCCACGGAAGCUAGAACACGUUUAAUUACUUUUCAGACUUUUCAUGUUCAGUAAUAACACCUGGAUUUUGUGUUCUGUUACUCACGUGAUUGUAUGACUUGAGCUGGGUCAGUGCAAACAAAAAAGGUACAUUGGCUUUGGGUGACACAGUAGUGAACUGAGAUUUCAAAUUUCUUGGUCUGCUGCGUUGCCUUCUCCUUUGCCCAAGUUCCCAGAUUCUCAAAACUCUAGGAUUAAUUUUGGAGGGAUGAGAGAAGAAAACAUAUAUAAAUACUCAAAAAGAUUAAAAUCCAAUAGCAUGUAAAGUUAUAUCAAAGGCUGUUGGGUUGGCAACUGAAUGGGUUUAAAAUUAGUGAGUCAUUAGCUCUGCAGUGGUGUGACUAUAUGUGGGGAGGUACCUACAGGAAGGUGGCCCAUCAACACACAAUGUAGCCAAAGGUGUGCAAGCCCCUUGUCUAAUUCCACCACAGUACUGGUCCUCAACUCAGCCUUGAAAAUAAAAAGCUUUUAAUUGAAUCCUGAGAAAUAAAGAGCUUCUAAUUACCCACUUAAGGGUGCAUGAAAAUGUUACAUAAUGCUCACACAUCCUUCUAGCAUUGGAAUAAAAAGAAUAGUUUCUGAAAGGAACAAACUCAUAUUCUUACCUUGGAGAGAGCUCCCUAAGUCGAGAGCUAACAGCAAUGUGUAUUCAUAAGCCAUGGUGGUGGUUUAGUAGCUAAGUUGUGUCUGACUCUUGCAACCCCAUGGGCUGUAGCCCACCAGGCUCCUCUGCCUAUGGGAUUUUCCAGGCAAGAAUACUAGAGUGGGUUGCCAUUUCCUUCUCUAGGGGAUCUUCCCCAUCCAAGGACUGAAGAUGGGUCUCAGCUACUAGGGAAGCCCAACUUUUCUUUAUCCAAACAUGUAAAUUUGCUUUAGGCCCAAACUUGAUGAUCAGUGGGUGGAUGUGGGUGAAUUACUUGUUUCUGCAUCCCUGGCUUAGGAUUGUCAGCUUAGUUCUGCCAGUUGGGGAGCCUGAGAAGGGGAAAUGAGGGAAGGAGAGGGCUAGAAAGAGGGGGCUGGAGAUCUGUACCCUAAGUUCCGUGUAGGCGCCCAGAGAGCGCUAGUUACCCAAGUCUCUGCAAACCUGUGUCCCCUUCUGACUUUUUUCUGUUCUCACCGUCAAGGGUCAGUCUCAAAAUAGCCAAGGGGUUAGAGAAAGCAGAAUUUAAGGUGGCAGGAUUCUGAAUGCUGGGCCAUGCAGUGAAAUGUAGGGAAUGUGGGGAAGGCCACUUUCUAUCGGGCGCCAUCUUUCUGGCAAGUGGUGUUACCGGAAUAUUGUGUGCCAAUUUCAAGGGCCCCUGAAGGGCAAAGGGAUUGCAUUUCUGUGAGUGAUAAGGCCUGAACUUGGCUGCAGAGAUUCAGUGCAGAAGCCUGGAUGCCACUAGCAUUACCAUAUGUACCAAUACACACAUAUUGGUAUAUGUAUAUAUGUAUAUGUGUUAGUCCUUCAGUCGUGUCUGACUCUUUGCGACCCCAUGGAUUAUGUAACCUACCAGGCUCCUUUGUCCAUGGGAUUCUCCAGGCAAGAAUACUGGAGUGGGUUGCCAUUCCCUUCCAGGGGAUCUUCCUGACCCAGGGGAUCUUCCUGAGCCAGGGUCUCCUGUAUUGCAGGCAGAUUCUUUACCAUCUGAGCCACCAGGGAAGCUCACCAACACACCAGAAAUAUCAGGACAUGAGAUGUGAAUUGGUGAAAAACUCUCCUGAAUUUUUUCCCCUGCUUACUUAGAGACAAAUCAAGUUUCCUUGAAUUUCUGGAUAAUAAAUGCAUUAAAUCACAAAUAUCCAAAAUCAGAAAGUUAUUUUGAUAGGAAUUCCAGUGUAGGGCUGCAGGAAUAAAGGGAUUCCUGGGGUUCUUGAGGUUGUCCUUCAGUUGUACUGAUGGAAACAUUUGAAAGAGUUCGCUUUCUUUUAAAAUAAAAUAUUCUCGGAUUUCCUUUGAUCCCUACACUUCAUGACACUUUUUAAAAAAAAAUUUUGAGCUGACAUCUUUUUUUGGCCUUAGAUAAGGAUACAGGACUUCCCUCAUAGCUCAGUCAGUAAAGAAUCUGCCUGUAAUGCAGGAGACCUGGGUUCGAUUCCUGGGUCAGGAAGACCCCUGGAGAAGGAAAUGGCAACCCACUCCAGUAUUCUUGCCUGGAGAAUCUCAUGGACAGAGGAGCCCGGCAGGCUACAGUCCAUGGGGUUGCAAGAGUUGGACACAACUUAGUGACUAAAGAGAGAGAGAGAAGGAUAUAAGAUUAAGAAGAAAACCCAUCCACUUAUCCAGGUAUUACUGCUGCUGCUGCUGCUAAGUUGCUUCAAUCAUGUCCGGCUCUGUGCGACCCCAUAGACGGCAGCCCACCAGGCUCCCCCGUCCCUGGGGUUCUCCAGGCAAGAACACUAAAGUGGGUUGCCAUUUCCUUCUCCAGUGCAUGAAAGUGAAAAGUGAAAGAGAAGUCACUCAGUCGUGUCCGACUCUUAGCGACCCCAUGGACUGCAGCCUACAAGGCUCCUCCGUCCAUGGUAUUAGAUGUUGCAAAUUUAAAAUGAGGAACUCCUCCAUUUCCCCAUUCCCUACUCCCAACUGUUAAAACGAUUCAGUUCUUGAGAACCCACAGAUUUGAUGAUACUUUAGAAAGGAACAAAGCUGCAACACUAUAUGCUAAUCACCACAUUGAAAACGAGUGGGCUUCUUCCUCAGUAUUUCUUGCUCUCACCUCUCCCAUUCCCAUCCCACUGCCUGCCUCUCACUCCUGAGCUUGGUUUGGGUUCUUCUUGAUCUCCCCGCCUCCAGUCCUCCCCAGUCCAUUUAAUCUAGAGUGAAAGUGAAAAAGUCGCUCAGUCGUGUCCAGCUCUUUUCAACCCCAUGGACUGUACAGUCCAUGGAAUUCUCCAGGCCAGAAUACUGGAGUGGGUAGCCUUUCCCUUCUCCAGGGGAUCUUCCCAACCCAGGGAUCAAACCCAGGUCUCCUACAUUGCAGGCAGAUUCUUUACCAGCUGAGCCACAAGGGAAGCCCAAGAAUCCUGGAAUGGGUAGCUGAUCCCUUCUCCAGCGGAUCUUCCUGACCCAGGAGUUGGACCGGAGUCUCCUGCAUUGCAGGCAGAUUUUUCACCAACUGAGCUAGAUUAAGGAAAGCCCUUAAUCUAGCAUACCACAACCAAAUUAAUUUUUCUAAAGUGCUACUUUGACCAAGAUGCUUCUCUGUUCAGAGACCUCAGCUCCUCAACAUGGCCUUCAACGCCCUCCACAGUCCAGUUCCAAAGAGCCUUUCCAGCAGUUUCAUACUAGAACUCUCCGUGUCACCCUAGCUUGCAGUUCUGUAAGUUAGUUUUUGAAUUUAUACUCUUUUCUGUUUUUGUCAUCUGUACUCUUUCUCACUGGAAUCUUUCCACCAUGAAUCCCCUCCUCCAUCUCUGUCUUAUUGGAUUCAGCUUUCAAGAUCUGGCUGAUAUAUUUUUUACAUGACAGUCAUCCCUGCCCACUGUUGCUAGAAAUGAUCUCUCCUUCCUCUACUUUUAGUAGUUACUUUGCUAAUUGCAUUUCAAGUGUUAAUUAAAAGUAUGUUGCCUUUUGAUGUCUCUUAUAUUGUGAUUUAAUUUUUAUAACUUUAAAAUUUUUCUCUUUUCUUCUCAUAUGGAUUGUAAGCCCACUGAGAGUGAAAGCCAUCUUUAUAUUUUCCAUGUUUACUAAUAUUACUUAACAUUAAUUAGCAUUAAGCUUUGAUUCAUAGAGAUUUACUGUUUAAUUUAUUUAAAUAUUUUCAUAUUUACUAGUAUGAGAAAUAAGUGUUUUUGGAGUUAUGAUCCUUCCUCAUGCUUUGAGUUUAGAGUAGUAAUUCAUGCCCCUAUAGAUGGUUGGAUGGCAUCACUGACUCAAUGGAUAUGAUUUGAGCAAACUCCAGGAGAUAGUGAAGGACAGGGAAGCCUGGAGUGCUUUAGUCCAUGGGAUCGCAAAGAGUUGGACAUGACUUAGUGACUGAACAACAACAAAUACCCUAGUCGAUAUCUUCAUAUAAAUGUUUCAAAAAUAAGCUUUACGAAUAUAAGGUAGGCUAAUGAGAUAAGUUUAUAUCAUGUGCUGUGCUGUGCUUAGUCGCUCAGUCAUAUUCGACUAACUUUGGGACACCAUGGACUGCAGCUUGCUAGGCUUCUCUGUCCAUGGAGAUUCUCCAGGCAAGAAUACUGGAGUGGGUUGCCAUGCCUUCCUCCAGGGGAUCUUCCCAACCCAGGAAUCGAACCCAGGUCUCCCACAUUGCAGGCAGAUUCUUUACCAUCUGAGCCACCAGCGAAGCCCAAAUUUAUACCAUACUUAGUAAUAAAUAAAGUGGGGCGGACAUAGCUUAAGAGUUUUUCCAAAGGAAUCAUAGAAGUCCAUAUAGUAAAAACGCUACCUAAUCUUUAUAAACAUUCAUGGUAAAUUACCUUUUCCCUUCAUUUAUGACAUUCUGUAUCCAGGCAUUUCAAGCUAGUGACUUGAAUCUGGAUUCAAAUUCUAGUUCAGAUUAAAAGUCUGUAUAGCAGUGACUAACGAGUGUCCCACCCAACCAUGGUUAUAAGUCACAAGCUUGGUGAAGACUUUUCUGUGUUUUAGUUGACUUUGCUGGAAAAUGAGAUUAAAAUAAUAGUGAGUAGCCUAACUGGGCAGUUUCUGGAAGGUUGGCCAGAAAGUCUGGGGGCAAUUUCCAAGUAAAUACCCAAGAAGUGUAUCGAAUCAGUUAAGUUAGCAUAAUUUGCCUUGAGGAUGAUAAUAGGUGGUAGAAAUCAUUGAUCAGAGCUCUAGUGGCUGUUUCUGAGAAAAGAUAUACAAGUUUUCACAUAAAGCAAUGUUACUGCUGAAACAUUCUCUUAGCACUAAGCAAAGAACAGUCUGUGCCUGUGGCUGGCUUAAGGUCAUAUACUGAUUUUGAAGCCACAGUUUACACAGGGACAAGCAGUUGCAUCCACUGUGAUAAGAAGAAGCACAGAAGACAGUGGUAUAAUCACAGCAAAGCAGGGACUACUUGGAGAAUUCAGAAGUUCUCCUCUCUCCCACUUCCUGCCUCUUUGCCUCUUCCCCUCUUCCUGGUAUGUCUAAAGAGUACACUGAACAGUGCAAGGGCCAAUAAUAAUAUUUUUCAAAAUUUGGGUGUAUUGGAAAGUGUUCAGACCUGCUAGGCAGAAGAUCCAAUUUUGUGUCUGGUGUCACUUUUAAGUUUGACCUUCAGUACUGGCUUCAUCUUUAAUAUGAACUCACUGUUUGCUCCCUCACAGGGUUACAAAUGGAUGAAAUGAGAUGAUGUAUGUGAAAGCUUCUUGGAAUCUCAUACAGCACUGUAUAUUUGUAAUACAUCAAAUGAUGUCUCAUCCCAUCAUCAUGAUAUUUCAGAUGAUGAAAGGUGUCAGGAUUUGCUUGUAUGAGAAGACUCAAUUCACUUAUAUAAGCUUCUCUAUAUCAACUGACUCCUUUCUUUCUCCCACUAGAUAUUAAUACAACCCAGAGGCUUGGUUGGUUUGUGCCCAACUCUUUUCAACCCCAUGGACUGUAGCCCACCAGGCUCCUCUGUCCAUGGAAUUUCCCAGGCAAGAGUACUGGGGUGGGUUGCCGUAUCCUACUCCAGGGGAUCUUUCCAGCCCAGGGGAUUGGACCCGCAUCUUGCGUCUUCUGCAUUGCAGAUGGAUUCUUUACCACUGCGUCACCUGGGAAGCCCCAGAGGCUCAGUAACAGUAAGCAAUUUUUAAAUGCCUUUACCUUUGGGAAAUCACCUUUAAAAAAAAGUCUUCCCCCCAUUUUGGUGCCCUUUCUUAUUAGAUGCAUGCAUACAUGUAAGCUAAGUCACUUCUGUCGUGUCCAACUCUGUGUGACCCCAUGGACUGUUAGCCCACUAGGUUCCUCUGUUGGUAGGAUUCUCUAGGCAAGAAUACUGGGAUGGGUUGCCGUGUCCUCCUCCAGGGGAUCUUCCUGACCCAGGGAUUGAACCAGAGUCUCCUUCACUGGCAGGUGAGUUCUUCACCACCAGCACCACCUGGGAAGCCCCUCCUUAGUAGGUACACUACUCCUAAAAAAGUAUUUGUUUAUGUGAUUCUUUGACAUGAAUUCCUUUAAAGGAUUUCAGUGGUGAAAUAUUAGCAACAGUGAAAGAAUUUUUUUUCCUCAAGUAGUGCCAGUAAAUAGUAGCUUUUUUAAAAAGGAAGGUAAUUCAAUGUAAAGUUUCGCCAACUUUCAUAACUUCUGUUCUUAUUCAGCUGUAAGAUCUUACCUUGAAGUGCUGGCGGUGAUGAGAGUGUUAUCCGUAUACAUGAAAGCAUUUGGCUAAGAGCUGUACUUCAGUUUGCCCAAGUCUAGAGCUUGUAAUGAUAACAAGCUAUGCUAAUUGUUGAAAACUCUAGGUUUUAUUUUAACAGAGUCUUAUUGUGCUCCUGAUAAAAUGAUUAUGUUGUAAACGCUGAGAAAUCUGUAGCAACAAGAAUCCCCUAAGCCCUGAUUUUAAGUUUCUAAAGGGUAGAAAUGAUACCUUUUAAGCACGUUAACUCCCAUUUAUUUGGGUCAUGUGAUGAUAGCUGGUAUUUUGUAAAUUCCUGUGCAAUAAAGGAAACAGUUAAAGUUUAUGUGGUGGUCAAGCUCAGUCGUGUUAGACUCUUGGCGACCCCAUGGACUGUAACCCCCAGGAUCCCCUGUCCCUGGGAUGUUCCAGGCAAGAAUACUGCAGUAGGUUGCCACUUACUUCUCCAGGGGACCUUCCCCACCCAGGGAUUGAACCUGCAUCUCCUGUAUUGGCAGGCGGAUUCUUUACCACUGAACUUUUAGGGAAGCCCCAAAUACACCAGGCUUCCCUGGUGGCUCAGACGGUAAAGAAACCACCUGCAAUGCGAGAGACCUGGGUUGGAUCCCUGGGUUGGGAAGAUCCCCUGGAGGAGGGCAUGGCAACCCACUCCAGUAUUCUUGCCUGGAGAAUCCCCAUGGACAGAGGAGCCUAGCAAACUGCAGUCCAUGGGGUCGCAAAGAGUUGGACACGACUGAGCAACUAAGCACAGCACACAGCACACUCUCUAAAAUAAAAGAAGACAUUGUGUUUUCCGUUCACCCAAGGAAGAUGGAUCUGGGCCAUCCAACUGCAUGGAACUGCCAACGGGAACCAAUGAAAGAAACAGGUUGCCAUGCCUUUGGGUAGCAGACGAAAUCAUUUACCUUGCUUCCUUUUCACUCACUACUUUGAGUAGACCAAACAGAUCGUGGCAGAAAAAUCCUCAUUCUGCCCAAAACCAAGGGUGACAAAAGAGACGGCAUCUAGUCCAUGGAAAUUGAAUAACUGCAUUUUCCUUUUAAGUGAGAGGAUGCAGUAAAGAAUCUAAUUUGAGCUGAAUGAGAACUGGAUGCCCAAGUAGGAAAUUCUGAGAAUCCUUCUAACAUAGCACUGCGUUCUCCAUGCAGUGAUGCCAACUCCUCCUUACAGUGCAUCUGCUCUGUGUGUGCUACAGUAAAAGAGAACAACUCUAGCAACCUGGACCAAUUCUGCCUCUGAGAAAUGACAAAAUAUGGAGAAACCUCUAUUAUCCAACGACAGCAAUAACUGGGACUGAGCACCUUAAUGAUCAGCCAAAGACUGGAUUUCAGGAUUGUCCAUUGAAACAAAU